GAUUAUGGCUCAGGAUGAACGCUAGCUACAGGCUUAACACAUGCAAGUCGAGGGGCAGCAUUUUAGUUUGCUUGCAAACUAAAGAUGGCGACCGGCGCACGGGUGAGUAACACGUAUCCAACCUGCCGAUAACUCGGGGAUAGCCUUUCGAAAGAAAGAUUAAUAUCCGAUAGUAUAUUAAAACCGCAUGGUUUUACUAUUAAAGAAUUUCGGUUAUCGAUGGGGAUGCGUUCCAUUAGUUUGUUGGCGGGGUAACGGCCCACCAAGACUACGAUGGAUAGGGGUUCUGAGAGGAAGGUCCCCCACAUUGGAACUGAGACACGGUCCAAACUCCUACGGGAGGCAGCAGUGAGGAAUAUUGGUCAAUGGACGAGAGUCUGAACCAGCCAAGUAGCGUGAAGGAUGACUGCCCUAUGGGUUGUAAACUUCUUUUAUAUGGGAAUAAAGUAUUCCACGUGUGGGAUUUUGUAUGUACCAUAUGAAUAAGGAUCGGCUAACUCCGUGCCAGCAGCCGCGGUAAUACGGAGGAUCCGAGCGUUAUCCGGAUUUAUUGGGUUUAAAGGGAGCGUAGGUGGAUUGUUAAGUCAGUUGUGAAAGUUUGCGGCUCAACCGUAAAAUUGCAGUUGAAACUGGCAGUCUUGAGUACAGUAGAGGUGGGCGGAAUUCGUGGUGUAGCGGUGAAAUGCUUAGAUAUCACGAAGAACUCCGAUUGCGAAGGCAGCUCACUAGACUGCAACUGACACUGAUGCUCGAAAGUGUGGGUAUCAAACAGGAUUAGAUACCCUGGUAGUCCACACAGUAAACGAUGAAUACUCGCUGUUUGCGAUAUACAGUAAGCGGCCAAGCGAAAGCAUUAAGUAUUCCACCUGGGGAGUACGCCGGCAACGGUGAAACUCAAAGGAAUUGACGGGGGCCCGCACAAGCGGAGGAACAUGUGGUUUAAUUCGAUGAUACGCGAGGAACCUUACCCGGGCUUAAAUUGCAUUUGAAUAAUCUGGAAACAGGUUAGCCGCAAGGCAAAUGUGAAGGUGCUGCAUGGUUGUCGUCAGCUCGUGCCGUGAGGUGUCGGCUUAAGUGCCAUAACGAGCGCAACCCUUAUCUUUAGUUACUAACAGGUCAUGCUGAGGACUCUAGAGAGACUGCCGUCGUAAGAUGUGAGGAAGGUGGGGAUGACGUCAAAUCAGCACGGCCCUUACGUCCGGGGCUACACACGUGUUACAAUGGGGGGUACAGAAGGCAGCUACCUGGCGACAGGAUGCUAAUCCCAAAAACCUCUCUCAGUUCGGAUCGAAGUCUGCAACCCGACUUCGUGAAGCUGGAUUCGCUAGUAAUCGCGCAUCAGCCAUGGCGCGGUGAAUACGUUCCCGGGCCUUGUACACACCGCCCGUCAAGCCAUGAAAGCCGGGGGUACCUGAAGUACGUAACCGCAAGGAGCGUCCUAGGGUAAAACUGGUAAUUGGGGCUAAGUCGUAACAAGGUAUCC
rnacentral:rRNA from 1 species